UCCGAGGUCACCCAACUGGUAGGGCAGCGCCCUGCUACGACGUACCGGUGCGGGUUCGAUCCCACGCUCGGUGCCA
rnacentral:tRNA from 1 species